GGAAGUGAUCGAGCGAUGACAACCAGGAGGUGGGCUUGGAAGCAACCAUCCUUUGAAGAAAGCGUAAUAGCUCACUGGUCUAGCUCCAUGGCACCGAAAAUG
rnacentral:rRNA from 1 species